rnacentral:rRNA from 1 species
AUUGAACGCUGGCGGCAUGCCUUACACAUGCAAGUCGAACGGCAGCACGGGAGCAAUCCUGGUGGCGAGUGGCGAACGGGUGAGUAAUAUAUCGGAACGUGCCCAGUAGUGGGGGAUAACUGCUCGAAAGAGCAGCUAAUACCGCAUACGACCUGAGGGUGAAACGGGGGGGAUCGCAAGACCGCGCGCUAUUCGAGCGGCGGAGAUCAGAUUAGCUAGUUGGUGGGGUAAAGGCCUACCAAGGCAACGAUCUGUAGUUGGUCUGAGAGGACGACCAGCCACACUGGGACUGAGACACGGCCCAGACUCCGACGGGAGGCAGCAGUGGGGAAUUUUGGACAAUGGGCGCAAGCCUGAUCCAGCAAUGCCGCGUGCAGGAAGAAGGCCCUCGGGUUGUAAACUGCUUUUGUCAGGGAAGAAAUCCUCUAGGUUAAUACCCUUGGGGGGAUGACGGUACCUGAAGAAUAAGCACCGGCUAACUACGUGCCAGCCGCCGCAGUAAGAC